UACGAAGGGGGCUAGCGUUGCUCGGAAUCACUGGGCGUAAAGGGUGCGUAGGCGGGUCUUUAAGUCAGGGGUGAAAUCCUGGAGCUCAACUCCAGAACUGCCUUUGAUACUGAAGAUCUUGAGUUCGGGAGAGGUGAGUGGAACUGCGAGUGUAGAGGUGAAAUUCGUAGAUAUUGGGAAGAACACCGGUGGCGAAGGCGGCUCUCUGGACCGACACUGACGCUGAGGCGCGAAAGCGUGGGGAGCAAACAGG
rnacentral:rRNA from 1 species